rnacentral:rRNA from 1 species
GCCUGAAAGAUCAGGUGUUCCCUUCGGGGACAGAAUGACAGGUGGUGCAUGGUUGUCGUCAGCUCGUGUCGUGAGAUGUUGGGUUAAGUCCCGCAACGAGCGCAACCCUUAUUGCCAGUUGCCAGCAUUCAGUUGGGCACUCUGACAAGACUGCCGGUGACAAACCGGAGGAAGGUGGGGAUGACGUCAAAUCAUCAUGCCCCUUAUGACCUGGGCUACACACGUGCUACAAUGGACGAUACAACGAGUUGCUAGACCGCGAGGUUAAGCUAAUCUCUUAAAGUCGUUCUCAGUUCGGAUUGCAGGCUGCAACUCGCCUGCAUGAAGUUGGAAUCGCUAGUAAUCGCGGAUCAGCAUGCCGCGGUGAAUACGUUCCCGGGUCUUGUACACACCGA